rnacentral:rRNA from 1 species
GACGAACGCUGGCGGCGCGCUCAACACAUGCAAGUCGAACGGAAAGGCCUGCUUUCCCUUGUGGAUUGCGGGUACUCGAGUGGCGAACGGGUGAGUAACACGUGAGUGAUCUGCCCCCAACUUGGGUAUAAGCCUGGGAAACUGGGUCUAAUUCCCGAUAGGACUGCAGGGUGGUGCCUGUGGUGGAAAACGAUUUUCUAGUGGUUGGGGAUGAGCUCGCGGCCUAUCAGCUUGUUGGUGGGGUAAUGGCCUACCAAGGCGGCGACGGGUAGCCGGCCUGAGAGGGUGGACGGCCACAUUGGGACUGGGAUACGGCCCAGACUCCUACGGGAGGCAGCAGUGGGGAAUAUUGCACAAUGGGCGGAAGCCUGAUGCAGCGACGCCGCGUGGGGGAUGACGGCCUUCGGGUUGUAAACUCCUUUCGACCGCGAGGAAGCCACCUGGUUGGAAGGGUGGUGACGGUAGUGGUAGAAGAAGCACCGGCUAACUACGUG